rnacentral:rRNA from 1 species
GAUGAACGCUGGCGGCGUGCUUAUCACAUGCAAGUCGAACGGAAAGGCCUUGUGCUUGCACAAGGUACUCGAGUGGCGAACGGGUGAGUAACACGUGGGUGAUCUGCCCUGCACUGUGGGAUAAGCCCGGGAAACUGGGUCUAAUACCAUAUAGGACCACUUCUUGGAUGUUGUGGUGGAAAGCUUUUGCGGUGUGGGAUGAGCCUGCGGCCUAUCAGCUUGUUGGUGGGGUAAUGGCCUACCAAGGCGGCGACGGGUAUCCGGCCUGGGAGGGGGUACGGACACAUUGGGACUGGGAUACGGCCCAGACUCCUACGGGAGGCAGCAGUGGGGAAUAUUGCACAAUGGGCGCAAGCCUGAUGCAGCGACGCCGCGUGGGGGAUGACGGCCUUCGGGUUGUAAACUCCUUUCGCUAUCGACGAAGCCACCUUGGGUGGUGACGGUAGGUAGAUAAGGAGCACCGGCUAACUACGUGCCAGCAGCCGCCGUAA